CCUCCCUUUCCGGUAGCUGGGAACACACUAGUGUCACCACUCAGGCAUCUCCUUUGCCUUUGUUCACCAUAACUCUAAAAAUUUCUAUGUUGGGGCCUGGGCCAUCGCUCAACUGUCAGCUUGCUCACCUAGCAUGCAUGAGGCACUGGAUUCAAGCCUCGAACCACAUCCUGCAGCACCAGAGCUUCAGGUCCAAAGCACUGGUAUCAUCUCUGACUCAGGGCCAUGUUAGUCCUAGCCCCAGGAGCAACCCCAAGCAACAAGGCAGAAAACAGUGAAGAACCUCGUAUCCUUGCCCUUGCGCCUGGGUGUGUUCUGUGGAAUCUCUCAUGGCACUGCCUCUGCUCCCCAGGGCAGGGGAAAACAACGGUGGGCUCUGACAUACCUCUGCGCAUUCCACACAGUGGCUGUCCUCUGCAGAAUCCUUGGAAACAUUUGACUGGCAAAGGAUUUGAAACAAGCAGUUCACUACUAUAAUGGUUUAACCACGUGAUCUGCUUUAGCCAGUGCAGCAUUUACGGUCCUGGCAUGAACACAGACCUGGACUGGACCAGACUGGCUAGUCUGGUUUGGCCUCUGGCUGCUGUUUCCACUCGGUCAGGCCCAUGAAGCUGAUCUGAGCCGGUCCUCAAGCCUGAGACAGAGUACUA
rnacentral:lncRNA from 1 species